UAUAAGGAAACAAAUUGAAAUCAAUAGUGUUUGAUACUAUGUAAUGUAAAAGAAGUGGUGAAACGUUAUUUGGUAUCAAUGUUACUUGGAAAUUUGUCACACUUUAAUCUUAAAAACGUUAAAAUGAUAAAAGUCAUGCUUCUUAUUCUGAUUGUUGUUCCAAAUACUGUAGCAGAUUGUGAUGAUUGUGAUGCCCUCUGUAAGAAAAAUAAAUGCGAUGGCGGCAAAUGUGAAAAUGGCGGUUGUACCCGCACGUGUUGUGGUAGUUGUGGUAAUCCAGGAAACGAAGGUGAAGGAGAUAAACAUACUACACUUGGUCUUAAUGUGUUUCCCUUUUUAGGACGAAAAUAGUAAACACGGACAAAAUUGAAGUGUUGGAAAGGUCAAGAAGAAAAUUUCACCUAAUGCUUUUGAACAUCUUAAACGUAUCUAUUUG